CUGCACUGAUGAGCCUAGAUGUGGCUGAUCUGGUAUUGCUGCCCUCCGGGGAACAGCUCUGACCAGGGAGUGAUCUCAACUUAAUCUUCUCUCUGAGCAG
ensembl:snoRNA Z30 small nucleolar RNA